UUUUUUUUUUCUUUUUCUUCCUUUUUUUUUUAUGUAAAGAUCAUACUAAAAAUCAAAAAAACUCUAGGAGUUUCAAUCUUUAAUGUAAUGUUUCCCACCCUCUCCUUUCACACUCUUCCCUAUAUGCUCAAGAGCCAUAUGAUUGGGGACAUAAGGAGGAGCUGCUUUACUCAAAUAUAUCCAAGCUGUGAGCCAAUUUUGAAAAUAGAAUCUAAAAAAAAGGAAAAAAAAGAAAAGUGUAUCAUAUUUCGAAGUACUAUAGGUCCACAAUGGCUAGUGAAUUAUAAUAUUAUAUAGAAUUUUGGACAUAUUAAUGAUAAACCUUGCAUCAUUAAAUGAUAAAUAUUUUCUAAAUACUUAUUCCUUUGGAAAUACACAUUUUAUACCUUAGAAUUGCUGCAAAAAGCACAGGUAUUAUUUUCCCAUUUUAUAAGUGAAAAAAACUAACAUAUGGAGAAGUUAAAUGGCUUGUCUACAAAAUAUCUAUAUGUAUAUAUAACUAUCUGUUGGUGAACCUAAUCAUAAAAUGCACAAUUAAUCGGUCCAGAUCUCUUUCAUUGAAACCAUGUCUGUAUUUCUAAGGGGCAGUCUUCUCUUGGAAAUUUAAAGAUAAUGUUUUCUAGGAGAGAUUAACUCUCCAAUUUAAGCAUAGUUUCAAAGUAUUUGGAAGUUGGGUAUAAAACUUAGUUCAAAAUUGGCUUGCAAAACUCCGAAAUGUCUCCAGCUGACAACUAAUUAUCUUUUUCCAUAAUUUUAAAAUAAUUUUCAAAAAUAUCUGAUUACUAAGAACAUGCCAUUCAGAGUACAGUACUAGGUGCAAGCUCGGCAGCUCCGUAUCACUCAUUUGAAUUUCUCAUUAGACUAUGUUCCCUUCUGUUUCCAAAGGCAUAUUUUAUUCCACCUUCAUGAGAAGGAAAGGUCAUUAACUGCAAUUUGACAAAGAGACAAUUAAAAUGCGGAUUGACCAUUGCUAAGAUAAUCACAGUGGAGUUACCAUGUUAUAACUUCAGCUAGUAGCAUGAGCUGCAAUUUUUUAAACUAAAUGUAUUUUUGAGAUAAUCUUGAAACAUUAAAAUUUUUUGUAGUUUGAAGUGAUUUUCAUUCCUGAUCCACUGCUUUUACUGGUAUCAGUUUUCUACUGUGGUCACUUAUAGACAGUUAUGGAUAACAAACAGCAUCAAUUUAUUACAAGGGCACAGAUAAUAUCCUUACCCUACUAACUCGUUUCUACCUACCCACUGAGCAACAUUAUUAAGAUCUGCAGAAUUUGAGCAAGUAUAUUGUUGUUCCCUGAAUACCCUAAGAUUGGAUACAGAGCCAAGACCUUAAGUGCCAGCCCGGUAAGAUGAAAAGGGUUUCUGGCAGCCUGAAUGGGCUUCUCAAAUGGAACUAGUCCUCAAAUCUUCAUGAUCUAUAAACCAUCUAACAAAUAUAGGUUUGAUGGAUGUGUGUGUUAAACCGUCAUUUAAAUUUAGAUGAAAUAAUUAUCCUUCAUUUCAAACAUACCAAAGAUCAAAGAACCCAGGGAAAAGAAGGUAGACACAAAAACAGACUAGGUGUAUGCAGCCAAAUAUUUGAGAGACAAAUGUCAAAAAUGCAUGUAUUGAGCUUGAAUAGUGCAAAAUCCUUGGACUGGGAAGUAAAGAAACUGAAUUCGAAUCCCAUCUGUCACGAAGUAGAAAGAAAUAUAUCUUCUAGCCUACCUUCCUGGAUUGCAUCGGGAUUAGAUUUACCUAAUUUGAAAGUUAAAUAAGAUAAAAGUGAAGGUGCACUUAUUAGUAGUAGUUUAUUAGCAUUAAUAUGAUUAAUAAAUGAAAUAAAAAUUUAAAAGGUCACAUUAAAACUACAAUUAUAGGAAUAUGUAAGUAUUUUAUAACAUGCAGUUUUAUAUCUGAUACUAUAGUAAUUGCUAGUGGCAAACUAAUAUUAAAAAUCUUUACAGAAGAAUGUUCUGAAAACUCUCUAGUAAAUUACAUCAAAAUUCUUGAAAAUUGGAUCCUGUUUCUCUUCUAAUUUCUAUUCUAUUCCUAUUUCUGAAAUGUAAUACCAUGAAUUUUCUUCAGAGUCUGAUUUCUCAUCAAGCAGUGACAAUACCUAUUGUGGUUGAAUAUCAAUAAAAUAUUUAUGACACUCUUAUGUGCUCAGUGCCCAUUUAGCCCUGGAGAAAACAUAGAGAUAGAAGACAUCCCCUGACUUGAAGAACUUUACAAUCUAACUUCACAGGAAUGUAGGAAAAGUGUGGAAAUUGUUCUGGGAUUAGAAGUGGAGCUAUAAUGUGUGUAAGAUGGGAUUCUCUGUAAUCACCAGUAGAGAUGAAGAGCUGUCUGUCAAUCGUUCACCCAUUUCUUAUCCUCUCAUGUCUUAAAAUCCUGCCUUCACCCUAUAUAUUCCUCUAGUUACAUUAUUAUCUUAUUCUUCACCUUCAUCCAAGAUUCUUGGAAAUCACUUACACAAUUUUUCUUCUUUACUUUCAACUCAGGCUCCAGCCCACUGAAAUCUGCAGCCACACUCACUACUCCUAUAAAACUGCUGGUUUUGAAAAUCAUCAAUGAGACUCCAAUGGUGCAAAUAGAAUCAAAAGUUCCUGAUAUAGAAUAAGCAAAUGAUGGAAGAAGCCAAGUUUCCUGAGUGGCCACUAGGAAAACUCUGUCUUCUUUAUCAAAACUAUGAGGUGAGCAACACCAAGUCUUCAAUUUUCCUAUGCCAUUGGGCUUUAAGAUUUUUUAAUAUAAGCAGCUAGCAUUAAUUACCCUGACUAAUAAAUAGUACCUGUUAAAAUCCUGCCUAUUGCUUUAAACAAUGCCACUAUGAAACCGGUUACUUAAAUCAGAAAAAUAGGCACCAGUUUUCCCUUUUACCUUUUUUUUUUUUUUUCUUUGAGACGGUGUCUUGCUCUGUUGCCCAAGCUGGAGUGCAGUGGCGCGAUCUCGGCUCACUGCAAGCUCCGCCUCCCAGGUUCACGCCAUUCUCCUGCCUCAGCCUCCCGAGUAGCUGGGACUACAGGUGCCAGCCACCACGCCCAGCUAAUUUUGUUUUUGUAUUUUUAGUAGAGACGGGGAUUCACCCUGUUAGCCAGGAUGGUCUUGAUCACCUGACCUCGUGAUCUGCCCGCCUGGGCCUCCAAAAGUGCUAGGAUUACAGGCGUGAGCCUCCGUGCCUGGCCGCUUUUACCAUUUUUUAUUCCCUUCACUUAAUUACAGUGCCUCUGAAAUGUUUGCAUUUCUUUCACUACAAGUAAAAUAUCUGAUUUCAGACUCCCAAUACUCUUUUCAAAAUUACAAAAUCUCGAAGCAGCGUAUCUUCCACCCCAAUUCCUGAUCCCCAAUAAUAUAUUUUUCAUGCUGCAGCUUGAGUAAUCUUUUAAGGGUCCAGCCUUGUCGGAUCAUUUUCCUGUUUAAUCUUUCCAUGGUGUCUAUUGUAACAGCAUGCGAUCUUAAUUAUUUAGGUCAGUGUAAGGACCUUCCACGACCUGGCCCUUAUUUUCCCCUUUACUUUACAAUGUAUUGAGUAUGUUGGGAUCCCCUGGAAUUCUCUGAGCCUUAGCAUAUCCUCACCUUCUACCUAAAGCCUUCUUCAUGACUUUAUUGUUCCUACCAUCUUCUUGUUUCAUUUUAUCCUUUGUUUCUUCUUGAAUGUCUUCAAUGACUCCCUAAAGUAGCUGCAUUAUAUGUUUCAUUAUUUAUCAUCACAGAACACUGAUCUCUUCUGUAACCACUGCUUUCUCAUCAGUCUUUCCCUGAACCCUGUUCCUUAUUGUUGGGAAUUGGAUUCUUAGUCACCAUUGUCUUCUGAAUAUCUGGCACAGUGCCUGGGUCAUAGUAUGUUCAACACAUACUGAGUAACUGAAUAACUAACCCUCUCCUAUUGUUUGAAGGUAUGUGUCCUCCAAAUUCUUAUGUUGGAACUUCAGCCCCAAAGUGAUUGUAUUAGAAGGUGAAACAUUUAAGAGAUGAUUAAGUCAUAAGGGCUCUGACCUUCUGAGUGGGAUUAAUGUUCUUAUAAAAGGGCUGGCGAGAACUAGCUAUGCCUUUUUGCCCUUCUGCCAUGUGAGGACACAGCAACAAGGAGCUGUCUAAAAAGCUGAGACGGAGCCUUCACCAGACACUGAAUCUGCCGGCGACUUGAUCUUGGAUUUCCCAGCCUCAAGAACUGUGAAAAUAAACUUCUGUUGCUUAUAAA
ensembl:lncRNA novel transcript